rnacentral:lncRNA from 1 species
GAAGAUAAUGGCAAAACCUUAGAGUAUCAAGGAAACUUUUAAAAACCUCUCUAAGCUUUAAGGCUAACUUCGCUUAGGAACCAGUCUUUUACGGGUAGACUCACACCUUAGAGUAUCAAAGGAACUCUUAAAAACCUCUAUAAGCUUUAAGGCUAACUUCGUUUAGGAACCAGUCUUUUACGGGUAGACUCACACCUUAGAGUAUCAAAGAACUCUUGAAAACCUAGAAAUCUUUCAAGGUGGAUUCGACCUUAGAGUUUUCCCAGAAACUCUAUAAAACCAAACUAGAGUUUUAUGGUUGAGCUCAAAAACCUUCUCUCACACUUUGGUACUAUUGAGACAACCUUCUCAAUCAAAGUGGACACACACAAGAGGUGAUUAGAGGAGUGGAAUAUUUAAGCAAACAACACUUUUUACUUGUAGAGAUGAACAAGAAGAUUAGAAGAAGUUGGAGAGCUUUUGAAGCUUUGGAAAGCUAGGACAUUUGAUCACUUGAAAGCUUGAAGGCAAAAAACGUGUGGGCAAGUGUGAAGUGAAAGCUCUUGAGUUUGCU